AUUGAACGCUGGCGGCAGGCUUAACACAUGCAAGUCGAGCGGAGUGAUGGUGCUUGCACUAUCACUUAGCGGCGGACGGGUGAGUAAUGCUUAGGAAUCUGCCUAUUAGUGGGGGACAACAUCUCGAAAGGGAUGCUAAUACCGCAUACGUCCUACGGGAGAAAGCAGGGGAUCACUUGUGACCUUGCGCUAAUAGAUGAGCCUAAGUCGGAUUAGCUAGUUGGUGGGGUAAAGGCCUACCAAGGCGACGAUCUGUAGCGGGUCUGAGAGGAUGAUCCGCCACACUGGGACUGAGACACGGCCCAGACUCCUGCGGGAGGCAGCAGUGGGGAAUAUUGGACAAUGGGGGGAACCCUGAUCCAGCCAUGCCGCGUGUGUGAAGAAGGCCUUAUGGUUGUAAAGCACUUUAAGCGAGGAGGAGGCUUACCUAGUUAAUACCUGGGAUAAGUGGACGUUACUCGCAGAAUAAGCACCGGCUAACUCUGUGCCAGCCGCCGCAGUAA
rnacentral:rRNA from 1 species